CUGGGCACUAAAAUGGCAGAUGAAAUUUAAUAUAGAGAAAUGCAAAGUUAUGCACUUCGGGGUUAAGAAUGCACAAGCAACUUACACACUAAAUGGUAGUUAAUUAGGGAUAACCACACACGAGAAGGAUUUGGGAAUUGUUAUAGACAACAAAUUAGGCAGCAAUAUGCAAUGUCAAUCUGCAGUUGCUAAGGCCAGUAAGAUUUUGUCAUGUAUAAAUAGGGGCAUAAAUUCUCGGGAUGAAAAUAUAAUUUUGCCUCUUUAUAAAUCGCUGGUAAACCCACACCUUGAAUAUGCUGUGCAAUUUUGGGCGCCUGUUCUAAAGAAGGCUAUCACGGCACUGGAGAGGGUCCAGAGACGAGCUACAAAAUUGAUAAAAGGAAUGGAGCAUUUUAGUUAUGAAGAAAGGUUAAAAAAUUAAAUCUGUUUAG